GUUUGUGGCCACACACCCUAAACAUGUAAGGUCUCAUGUGAACUCAGAAACUAAGAAGGGUUGGGUCUGCUAAGUACGUGGAUGGGGAUAUACAGCAUAAAUCCCCAACCC
ensembl:rRNA 5S_rRNA 5S ribosomal RNA